UUUAACAGUUUAAAGUUUACACUGUUUACAGCUAGGACUAGCUAUGUACGACAUGUACCUAUCGAAUAAAACUCAAAUAGCACCUGCUAUUAAAUAACAGUUUUUUUCGACUGCUAUUUUUGAUUCGCAUUAGCAAAAGCAUUUGCUAUACGAAAAUAGCAGGUUUGUCCCAACACUACCCGGCGCGGCGUCUCAAAUGUGUGGCGUGACUGCCUUAUAAGUUUUUGCUACGGUGUUGCACUAUUUUUAAAGCAAAAACAGAUUUAAUAGGUUAUAGAACAAUGAAAUAACUGCAAAAAAUGCUGCAAAUGUUGGUCUGAAGAUAAUAACAUUUGUUAGUCCAUGAGAAGCAGUUGAAUUUGGCAGUUCAGUGUAGGAAGUAUUAAAGCAAAUUGAAUUGGUUUAUAUAUUUUUUUAAAUAUUAAAACUACCCUUAUUUACCAAUAUAUUUUUUGCGUUUACAAGAUGUCAACCCUACGUAAGAAAUCCAUAAUGAAGAAAAGGCGUAUUAUAUAUUCAAGUGAAGAAGAUAUAACUGAAAUUACAAAAAAAUCAAAUGAAAACUAUAGUUUUACGGACUAUAGGAUAGGAGCAGGUCAUCAAGCUGCAGUGAAAGUGAAAAUUUUGAAGACAAUUCAAAUAAUACUAACGGCGGCAGUAGUAUCAAUAUUUCAGAAAGUAAUUCAGAGUGGACAGAAGUAGAUGCAGAUCCAGCAUUACACGAUUUUAUCGGCAAAGAAGGAUUAAAAGUGAAUUUAUUUCCAAAUAGUACAACUUUAGAUAAUUUUUUAUUAUUGUUUGAUAAUAAUUUAUUUGAAAAAAUUGUGGAAUGGACAAACACCCACGCUAAAAUAUUAUUAGAUACAGCAAAUAUUUCAAGUGAAUCCAAUUUAAAGAAUUGGAAAAACGUUACGGUAGAUAAGAUGAAGAAAUUUUUAGGUUUGUGUAUUUUAAUAGGCAAUAUUCGUAUGCUUAAUCUCAAGGCGUAUUGGAGUAAUGAUAUUCUGUACUAUCACCCUAUAUUUGGACAAACUAUGUGCAGAAAUAGGUUUAAAUGUAUACUUCGUUGCCUGAGAUUUUAUGAUCAAACAUCAAAUAAAACCAGUCGCCUUUAUAAAUUAUCUGAGGUGUUAGAUCAUCUGAUCACAAAUAUUGAAAACGUUUAUUAUCCUGAAGAAACCUUAUCUUUAGAUGAAGCGUUACUAUUAUGGCGAGGCCGUUUACUAUUUAGACAAUAUAUUCCACUAAAAAAAAAAAAAAAAAAAAGAUAAAUUUGGAAUAACAAUCUAUGAAUUGUGUGCUCCUGAUGGUUUCGUCUUGAAUUUUUUUUAUAUAUUGUGGAAAAGAGACGGUUAGUAAUGAAAAUGGUCAUGCUUAUAGUGUUGUGUAUAAGUUGUUACAAAAUUAUUUGGGAAAAGGGCACACAGUUUACAUGGACCACUAUUAUAACAAUGUGCAAUUAGCCGCUUGGCUUUAUAGAGACCAGACACACGUUGUCGGAACUCUUAGGAAAAAUUGUAAAGGUAAUCCAAAAUGUGUAAUUGCCAAAAAUCUAAAAAAAGGAUAAUCUGUUUUUGCUAGGAACAAUAAUAUAUUGGUGCAAAAAUGGAAAGACAAACGAGAUGUCUUAACAAUAUCCACUAAACAUAAUGCUUCAUUCAAAGAGGUUAAGUCUAAAAAUGGGAAAUUAGUAAAUAAGCCUUCUACUAUUAUAGAUUAUAAUUGCAAUAUGUUGGGUGUAGAUAGAUCAGACCAAAUGAUCUUCUAAUAUUCUUCUCCUCGGAAGACGUUACGAUGGUAUAUCAAAUUUUUUUUUCAUGUAAUAGAUAUUUCAAUUUGGAAUGCUUGCUUCUUACAUAACAGAACUCAUUCCAGUAAAAUGAAUUACUUAGAGUUUAGAAAUGAUCUUGCCAAAAAAUUACUGAAUGCUGAUAACAUAAUAAAUGUGCUUUCAUUUAAUAACAAAACAUCAGAAACAAAACAUUUUCCUAAAAAACUGGAUAAAAGAAUAAGAUGCCGAGUAUGUAGCACUAAGAAGCUGCGGAAAGAAACUUUUUAUUCCUGCGGAAUUUGUAAGACAAAUAAUGGAUUACCCAAUGGCCUAUGUGUUGAUGAAUGUUUUCACAUUUUUCAUGAAAAAUAAUAAAUUAUAUCUUUUGGAUUUGAAA
rnacentral:lncRNA from 1 species